UGGGGAAUUUUUGGCAAUGGGGGCAACCCUGACCAAGCAACGCCGCGUGGGUGAUGAAGUCUCUUGGGACGUAAAACCCUUUCGACGGGGAAGAAACCGCAAGGUUGACGGUACCCGUAGAAGAAGCCCCGGCUAACUCCGUGCCAGCAGCCGCGGUAAUACGGGGGGGGCAAGCGUUGUUCGGAAUUACUGGGCGUAAAGGGCGCGUAGGCGGUUCGCUAAGUCGGAUGUGAAAACUCUGGGCUCAACCCAGAGCCUGCAUCCGAAACUGGCGGGCUAGAGUUCUGGAGGGGGUAGCGGAAUUCCUGGUGUAGCGGUGAAAUGCGUAGAUAUCAGGAGGAACACCGGUGGCGAAGGCGGCUACCUGGACAGAAACUGACGCUGAGGCGCGAAAGCUAGGGGAGCAAACAGGAUUAGAUACCCUGGUAGUCCUAGCCCUAAACGAUGGAUACUUGGUGUGACGGGGAUUGAAUCCCGUCGUGCCGAAGCUAACGCAUUAAGUAUCCCGCCUGGGGAGUACGGUCGCAAGGCUG
rnacentral:rRNA from 1 species